UGUAUUCUAAAAUAUUCUUCAAAGUCAUCUCUCCCAAAUUCUGAAUCAUAACUUCAAAACUAAACAGUGGGUCACAGUGCCUGUUGAUGAGGUCAUACAAAAUUCCAAAUGUACGAAGACACAGUUUUGCCAGAAACUUGCCAGUGCUCAAGAGAGGUGGGGAAAAGAGUGAGAGGCGGCCAGAUGAACUCCACUGUCCGCCAGCUCCGCAUUCCUUCGCACGUGCCUCUGCAGGAUCCCUUGUGGGAAAGUCGCAGAAAUGUUCAUAAACUGAAGAAAAAGCCAGGGAAUGCAAGGAGAGCAAGGUCGUAGGUUGUUCCGACUGCCCCUUAACGACCUGCCUGGCAGGGACCGGCUACCCUGUUCCUUCCUACCCGCAGCCCCAGCCCCAAGUGGAGCAGGCACCAUCCACCCAUGCCUCCCCGAGCUUGCCAGCAGUGAACAUUCCUGAAGACACUCUCCUCUCUUAUCCCGAAUUCUCGCUGCCGCUGCAGAAACACUGCCUUCCAUAGGUUCUCCAAGGUCCUCAGUGAGCUCUGCUCGCGCUGCCUACCAUCCACGCCCCGUGCCGUCGCCUUCUUCCUGGCCAGCCCCUUCUGCCUUUCACACAGGCUGCCACAAACUGUCCUAAGUGUUUUUGCCUGGUAAAAAGAUUCACAGAACCCGGGGACUAGAAGCCCAUUUGGAGCUUUGACUGUCCACCAGUUAAACUCCCUCUCCGAGGAGUUGCAGUGGCCCCCAUCUGCCCCCACUGACAUCCACACUCCAGGACCCAGCCCAGGGGGCUCUCCCCUGAGCAACCUAAGCUUGGAAUCCCCCACCUUGGGCUUUGCAUUCUAAGAGCUCAUGACAUCUCCUAAUUCUCACUAGCCCUAUGGCACCAGAGCGAGGUGUGCAUAGACAUGAAAGCCAGAAUGCAGAAAACAGUCCAUUUGCAGAACAUUAAUUUUUAAACCAGUAUCAUUUUAGAGAGUUAAAAAGUAACAGACUUGAGAUAAAAGCGAGCGUGGAAAUUUUUAAAAACUACUGAUUCUAAGAAAUGCAAAACUUACUUUCAACAUUGUUAUUUUUCAAGUAUUUCUUUUUUUUUCAAAUUAGCUGCAGUGUUUUUAAGCCUUAAAGAAAUACUUCAUAUAUACAACAUUGCCCUGAGCUGAAUGGCGGGAUUGGAGUUGGCUAGCAGGGAAAGGCUAUAGGACAGAGAAAUAUAGGGGGGUAAGCGGGGGAAGGUCAUAGGACAGAGAAACAUUGGGAACAUUACCAAACUAUACCUCCCUGGAAAAUGCUCAUUCUACUUUUUUAAAAAGUUUGUUACCAUAGUAGUGUCUAUGUAUUGGCAAUUGUUCUGCUGAUUAGAUGAAUGUAGUAAAUCAUACCUUCUUA